rnacentral:misc_RNA from 1 species
GUGAAUCAUCGAAUCUUUGAACGCACAUUGCACUCUCUGGUAUUCCGGAGAGUAUGCCUGUUUGAGGGUCAGUUUAAAUAUCAAUCGGCGUGGUUGCUGCCUUUCCUGGUGACGCACCGCAUUUGGGUCGUCUCACCUUAGGUUAAGUGACCUAAAAUUUUGCAUGAUUUUUUUCGAACGUAUUUAAAUGAUUUUACGUACGUUUGCGUUAUCGAAUACUAGGUUUGGUCAUUCUCAUGAUUCGCGCCUAUAAUUUUUCAUCAAAAUGAA